UACUAUGGCCGAUGAAAAAAUUUGCCGUCGAUUUUCGAGGCCUCCACAAUAAAAGGACGGACAUUACGUAUACAAAUACGUAAUAAAAAUAAACAACGGGCAAUGACUAAACUUUUAUAACACUUCGACACCACAAAAGGUUUUAUGAUUCGUAUCUUUGCAACACGAUUUAGGAUGGCCAAUUAGUCGAGCAACCACUUCGUAGCCAUGGCGAGUCUAAAACUUAAUUCGAG
rnacentral:lncRNA from 1 species